UGACAACAUGAUUCCUCAACAGAGGGUACAGCAGUGUUUCAUUAUUCUUCAGUACCAGAACAGAAGUUCUACCGCAGUACAUCCCAGGGAGUCCCCAAUUACAGAGACCCCUUGCCUCAUGGUACAGCAUCACCUCAAUUUCUCCUCAGUCACCAGGAGUAAGCAUCCUAGGAGAGCAAUAGCUCUUCUACUUUUUGGUUCACUGGCAUAAAGAGCAAGUACUGCCUUUAUCUUCCAACUCAACAAAACUGUUCUGUGACCGCUGGUGGAAAUUUAUUUAUUUCAAAUUUAUUUCAAAUCCUCGCUCAUUUCCAAGUUGCUAGGAUAACAAGACGACAUUCUGGGAUCUCCCUAUGUUACCCUGGUCGACCUGAACUCCUGUGUAGUGGGUAGCCAUUCCAACCUUGAUCUGGAAGUUCCAACCCCCACUGAGGCUUCGGUAACUGUCACACCUACAAGGCGGGGCCAAGAGAGGGCCCUAAAGACCCGAGAUCCGGAUGGUUCCUGGACCCUGGAGUGGAGGUAGACGGAGCAGAGUUCUCUAGAGAACACUGCCGGAUGGCGCUGCGUCUUUCCCAGACCCUGCAACCUACCUAUCCCUUCAUUUGUAAGUUAUGCCACUAAAUAAACCUCCCUUUUAACUAUG